UCGCAGGUCAGAAUGCUGCGGUGAAAUACGUUCCCGGGUCUUGUACACACCGCCCGUCACACCAUGGGAGUCGGAAAUGCCCGAAGUCGGUGACCCAACCGUUUAUGGAGGGAGCUGCCGAAGGCAGGUCUGGUGACUGGGGUGAAGUCGUAACAAGGUAGC
rnacentral:rRNA from 1 species